rnacentral:lncRNA from 7 species
ACUGAUUUGAGCAGGAGUCAAUCCACAUGGAGCUACUGCAGGUAACGGCAAUAGAGGAAAGUAGACCUGGAUUAUUUCAUGCAAAAGCAUCUGCCUUUUUACAUCUACACCAACGUGAAGGUGGUAACAUCUACUGGAUAUGAACUCUGAAAAAUAAGUUUCCUUCUUUUUCUCCAGCCUCUCAGAAGAAAUAGAGAAACUAGGUAAGACAGGUGCCAAUGGAGGCAAACAUACUGAUCUACUUGUGAUAGACUUCAGACCAUUAAUACUUGUGCUGGGUAAGGACUGUGUGUAACAGUCAGUUUGCCUAACUACAAACAUCGCUGGAAUGGGCUAAACUUCCUGCAAACAUGUGGCUUACAGUCUCACGCUGGAAUUAGACACAAUAACGUCACAUUCGGGGAUGCAGGCACUUCCCAGACUGUUAUGAUAUCAGAGGUAACAGAAAAUUAAUCUCUGCCUGUGUGAUCUCAGAAGGUCUUACUCAAGUCACUUAUUUAUGAACUGAGAUAAAGAGCAAAAACCUUUUUGAUACAGGUCUACAGAUUUGGGUACUCCACAGCUUCUUCGGGUCAUUCUCUCAAAUGGCACUUAACCAUUUGUCUUCUAUAGCUGCUUGUUAAACAGUUGGUUUGAUGCAGCUGAACUGUGCUGAAAUAUGGGGUAGAUCAGUUUUGCUGUUUUGUAUUUCUGGUUUAGAAGUUGUGUUUAUGUACUUCAUCCAUUAAUUGGAAUCUAUGCUUUAGCUACAAUUACAAAUAAAAAGAACAGAAAAAAAAAAUAUGAAGAAAUCUAGUUGUAAAAGAGCAUUGAGGGAGUGCCAAAAUAAAGUAAGUUGGCAGAAAAUGAUUUAGCAGAUCUCAUAAAAACCUUGUGCUACUAUGUUGUAAGUUAACUAAGACAGAUAUUUAAAGCAUGUUUAAUCAACAUACAAAUUUUCAGCAUAUACCAACAAAAAGUUUAUAGUAUAAAAGUACCGACAACUGGAAGUUAUCUGUAGAAUUUUAUAAAUAAGUACUUGCAGAUGGAAAUGUAAAUUACUUUUCUGAAAAAACAGCCAGUGCAAUGAAAAUGGCUUUUAACAAAACAUGAGUGCAGUUGUUUUUUGCCAGUACGGUUCAGAAAAAGUGUCAUUAUUCUUGUUCUAGCUAAUAUGUAUUGCUAAACAACCGUACUUUGCUGUUGUACAUUCUUGUUAUUUUGAUUUGUUAUAUUUUUGUUUAAAAAUAUAUAUUUUCAAU